rnacentral:rRNA from 1 species
AGUGAACGCUGGCGGUAGGCCUAACACAUGCAAGUCGAACGGCAGCACAGGAGAGCUUGCUCUCUGGGUGGCGAGUGGCGGACGGGUGAGGAAUACAUCGGAAUCUACCUUUUCGUGGGGGAUAACGUAGGGAAACUUACGCUAAUACCACAUACGACCUACGGGUGAAAGCAGGGGAUCUUCGGACCUUGCGCGAUUGAAUGAGCCGAUGUCGGAUUAGCUAGUUGGCGGGGUAAAGGCCCACCAAGGCGACGAUCCGUAGCUGGUCUGAGAGGAGGAUCGGCCACACUGGAACUGAGACACGGUGCAGACUCCUACGGGAGGCAGCAGGGGGGAAUAUUGGACAAUGGGCGCAAGCCUGAUCCAGCCAUACCGCGUGGGUGAAGAAGGCCUUCGGGUUGUAAAGCCCUUUUGUUGGGAAAGAAAUCCAGCUGGUUAAUACCCGGUUGGGAUGACGGUACCCAAAGAAUAAGUACCGGCUAACUUCGUGCCAGCCGCCGCCGUAA